GGUACCAUAGCUCAGUUGGUAGAGCAACGGACUGAAAAUCCGUGUGUCGCUGGUUCAAUUCCCGCUGGUACCACCA
rnacentral:tRNA from 1 species